rnacentral:rRNA from 1 species
AGGAUUAGAUACCCUAGUAUAAAAAUGAAGAAAAUUAGUAUGUAAAAGAAAUUUAAUAAUUUUGGCGGAAAAUUUUUAAUUAGAGGAGCUUGUUGAAUUAAUAAUUACUCUUUAUAUUUAAAAAUAAAGUGUUUAUUCAUCUCCGUUAUAAGAUUAGGAUUAGAAAAAUAAAGUUAUUUAUUAUUUCAGGUCAAGAUGUAGCAUUUAUAAACAAAAAUUAGCUACAUUAAUGAGAUUAUGAAGUUAGUAAGGAAGGUUAUUUAGGAAAAUGAAUUUAGUUGUAAUAUUAUUUAGAAUAAUUAUAUGAAUUAUAAAAAUUAAUGUACAUAUUGCCCGUCACUUCUAGUUAAUAAGUAGAAUAAGUCGUAACAAAGUAAAUUUAAGGG